UACGUAGGGCGCAAGCGUUGUCCGGAAUUAUUGGGCGUAAAGAGCGCGUAGGCGGCCCUGUAAGUCCGCUGUGAAAGUCAAGGGCUCAACCCUUGAAUGCCGGUGGAUACUGCAGGGCUAGAGUCCGGAAGAGGCGAGUGGAAUUCCUGGUGUAGCGGUGAAAUGCGCAGAUAUCAGGAAGAACACCCGUGGCGAAGGCGGCUCUCUGGAACGCAACUGACGCUGAGACGCGAAAGCGUGGGGAGCAAACAGG
rnacentral:rRNA from 1 species